rnacentral:rRNA from 1 species
CAGUCGCCGCGGUAAUACGUAGGUGGCAAGCGUUGUCCGGAAUUAUUGGGCGUAAAGGGCUCGCAGGCGGUUUCUUAAGUCUGAUGUGAAGGCCCCCGGCUCAACCGGGGAGGGUCAUUGGAAACUGGGAAACUUGAGUGCAGAAGAGGAGAGUGGAAUUCCACGUGUAGCGGUGAAAUGCGUAGAGAUGUGGAGGAACACCAGUGGCGAAGGCGACUCUCUGGUCUGUAACUGACGCUGAGGAGCGAAAGCGUGGGGAGCGAACAGGAUUAGAGACCCCAGUAGUCCCUGUCUCUUAUAA